rnacentral:rRNA from 1 species
GUGCUUGCACUCUGUCGGCGAGUGGCGAACGGCUGAGUAACGCGUAGGAACGUACCCCAAAGUGAGGGAUAAGCCCGAGAAAUCGGGUCUAAUACCGCAUAUGAUCUUCGGAUUAAAGCAUUUAUGCGCUUUGGGAACGGCCUGCGUCGGAUUAGGUUGUUGGUGAGGUAAUGGCUCACCAAGCCGACGAUCCGUAACUGGUCUGAGAGGAUGAUCAGUCAGACUGGAACUGAGACACGGUCCAGACUCC